rnacentral:rRNA from 1 species
AUUGAACGCUGGCGGCAUGCCUUACACAUGCAAGUCGAACGGCAGCACGGGGGCGAACCCUGGUGGCGAGUGGCGAACGGGUGAGUAAUGCAUCGGAACGUGCCCAGUAGUGGGGGAGUAACUAGUCGAAAGAUUAGCUAAUACCGCAUACGACCUAUGGGUGGAAAGCGGGGGGACGUUCGCAAGAAACCUCGCGCUAUCGGAGCGGCCGAUGUCUGAUUAGCUAGUUGGCGGGGUAAAAGGCCCACCAAGGCUUCGAUCAGUAGCUGGUCUGAGAGGACGACCAGCCACACUGGGACUGAGACACGGCCCAGACUCCUACGGGAGGCAGCAGUGGGGAAUUUUGGACAAUGGGCGCAAGCCUGAUCCAGCCAUG